AUGGGCGUCCUGACCCAACUCCUCUGCUCUCUGCGGUCCUGCCUGCCAGCUGCUAGCAGGCACGCUGGGCUGACCCGGUGCCGGCUCCCCUCUGCGUCCCUGAGACACAGCGUGUCCGUCACCUGCAGGCCCAGUAGAGCAUCAGCGAUCACUUCAGCUGGUAUCCGCAGAAACCAGGCCGGGCUCCUGAGCUUCGCAUCUGUGAUACUAGUAACCGAAAGCCUGGAGUCCCACAGGUUCUCCGCGAGUCAGCUGGACACCGAAUUCAUCCUCAGAAUCAGCACGGAUUCAUCAAUUCAACUUCCCAAAAUGACUUUCCCUGCUCAGAUCCUGGGACCACUGAUGCUCUGGGUCACAGGUAAGGACAGAGGGAAGAUGAGAAAGGAAUAGAGGGUGGGCUCAGUGUGCUCUGGAAGACACAGUUGCUUAGGAUGUAUAUUUGUUCACAUGUUAGAUACAUACAUGUUGCUCUGUAGAACGAAGUAUGUUUAGGUCCAUGAGAUUGAGGACAAUUCCAGAAGGAACAAGAAAGGAUCUAUGUUCUGAUGAAGACUGUCACCUAGAAGGAGAAGGAUGGUGUAGGUGACUUCUAGAGGCCCCUUUGUAUGUUGUGCAUCUUGGGUUCUUUUUGAAAUUGGAUAUUUUAGGGUAGUAAUCAACUUUUUAAAAUGAUUUAGCCUGAAAUAAAUAACAAAAGAAAAAUUCUGAAAAUGGCUCAGAAAGUUUGUAUAUGACCUUGCAUUUCUCUCUCUCCUUACUUUAGGAUCCAAUGGGGAUAUCGUGAUGACCCAGACCCCAUUGUCCUUGCCUGUCACCCCUGGAGAGCCAGCCUCAUCACUGUGCAGGAGGCCAGUCAGAGCCUCCUGCACAGUGAUGGAUAUAUUUAUUUGAAUUGGUACUUUCAGAAAUCAGACCAGUCUCCAUACUCUUGAUCCUAUAUGCUUUACAACCAGACUUCUGGAGUCCCAGGCUGGUUCAUUGGCAGUGGAUCAGGGACAGAUUUCACCCUGAGGAUCAGCAGGGUGGAGGCUGAAGAUGCUGGAGUUUAUUAUUGCCAACAAACUCUACAAAAUCCUCCCACAGUGGUACAGCCUUGGACACAAAUCUCCUCCCUCUGGGUGGUGCAGCUGUGCAUGGAUGUUGAUAGUUUGAGGAAGAAACAGUUUUAGACUAUUCACAUACCCUGUUCAGUUAGUUUAUAGGUCAGCUGGGAUCAGCAGAGAGUUUAACUUUAUAGACAAAAAGCUUUCAUCUUCAGCACACUAUUUCUCCACUUAUCCUUAUCAAUCAGUGGUAUAUUUCUAAAAAAAAUUUCUAUUUAUUCCAAAAAAUAGACUCCUAUGAGGCAGAUAGAUAAUAAGGCCUCAAGGAGCCAGAGAAGUCAGGCAUGUCACUGUUUCUUCCAGUGUUUGGAAAGAGCAUGCACACUCAGAGGGUAAACACAUUCAGAGAGUCUUCCCUGAGCUUCCUGUUACCAGAAUGCAUUUCCACAGAUUUUACCUUUUGUGGGUGGCAGUAAUUUGUGCAAGAGGACCAGCCUCAAUCACAUGUGACUCAGGGCUCAGCAAACCACUCCAUCCCACCUGUACCUGGGAAACUCUCCCGAUGGGCAGGUUGAUCUACCCUUUAAUCAGAGAACCUUCCUUUGGAUCCAGGAGGUGACCAGGCCUCCCUGUCUCUAAUCUCAUCCAAAGCAGUGUGGGCCUGGCUACUUGGGUUGACAAAGUCUAGAGAACACAGUGCACAGUCUCCAUGCCCCCAAAGUGACAGAAUGAUAACAGACUCAGACCCCAAAGAAACAGUCUUUCAAAGUCACAUCACCCCAUACUGGCUUCCAGCUUUAUGGACCUCAAAACAACAGCAUCUGACAACAGACACAAAGUAUAAUGAGACCCACCUGCUUAAAUCGUUCCUUACUUAGUAAGAUGAUAAAAAUUUGAGACUCCCAGAGCCUGAUACUCAGCUGGAACUCAUGUUCCUAUUCUUUCAACCUGUACAAAGUCUUAUUAUUUCUAGGUGCUGUGAAGUGACUGGUGUUGGCUACUGGUUGGUUUUGUUUUAAAGCCACAGUAUACUUUAUAUGUCUGUGAGAGACAGAGAUUCUUUUUUAGAAUUAGGAAUAUUGUACUCUCUGUCCACAAAUAGUAUAGGAACAUUUCAUAGCCUUUUUGUGACAAAGAAAGAAUUUCAAAAUAUUUCACAUUUUAUGUCUAUUUUGGGAUAACAGAUUAUGACAUGAAACAGCCAAUAAGAAUUAGAGACCUUUAUGACCUUUUCUUGACUACCUUCAUCUAAUUCUCCUACUGUCUAGUCUCUGCCUUUACCAAUCACAAACAUGAUUUUUUUUGUAGUUUUAUAUUGUUUUCUUUGUUUUUGAAUCCACUUGUAAGUGAUGUCAUACACUAUUUGUCUUUCUCUAUCUGAUUUAUUUCACUCAACAUAAUGCCCUCAGGGUCCAUUAAUAUUGUCACAAAUGGUAGAGUUCCUUUCUUUGUUAUGGCUGAAUAAUAUUCCAUUACCUAUAUGAUGUGGGAAACCCAGAGGGCUGUAUUAACCCUUCUUACUUUUUACUAAGUUACUUCCACAGCCCAAAUCUUGCUUAGUAUUCCUUACUAAUUGAAACUCUCAGAUGUAAUUUUUCUUCGACCUGUCACUUCCUCAUAGAUUCCUUUCCUUGGUUUAAAAAGUAUAAAAACUGUCUGCCUUGGUCAUUUCUUAGGGUCUCAGUUUCAUUACUGGGCCUCUGCACACACAGAACAAAACGUUUCCUCCUGCUUUUUCUUCUUUUUGUUUGUACUUUUUUUUUCUCCUGUAACUCUGUGUCAUGCAAAUUUCUUAGUCCAGAUAGAAGAACCUUGGAAAGAGGAAAGUUUUCUCCUCCCCACUGUU
rnacentral:lncRNA from 1 species